GUGCUCACUUUGGCAACACAUACACUAAAAUUGGAAUAAUACAGAGAAGAUUAGCAUGGUCUCUGCACAAGGAUGGCAUGCAAAAUUCUUGAGGCAUUCCAUUUUUUU